AAAUUAAUCAACGUUGUUAAAGAUUAUUGUUGAUUUAAUUUGUUAAUUUCUCUUACCUGGCAUCAUCAUGUUAACAAUUACUGUCCUACUCUUCAUGGUCAAAGAAAUUUCCUAGAAAAAGGUAAAAGAGAAAGUGUUUGAUUGUUGUCCACUCCAAUGGUGACAGUUCAUCAAAUUGAUUUUGUUCCUUGUGUUUCAUUUUUACAUCUUUUCUUCCUCACUUUUGAUUGAUUGGAAUACUAAUAAUUUCCAAUCUUUGAGAAUUCAAACUCUAAAAAAAUACACAUUCAACUUGUUUUAAUUCGACAUUUAUUUACUUUCCAGAGAGAGGGGUACAUUCAAUUCAUCAAUAAUCUUUAAUUGUUGGAAACACUGGUUAAGCAGAUUAACUUAAUUAGAAUGGUAAACAAAAUCAAAUUAAAUUUCUUGGUCGAUUUGUGGUGCCAUCUAUUGGUGGAGAAUUGAAAUUGAAGUUGAACAACCUGUUGACAAGUUGAGAUGAAUUGAAUUGAAUUAAAAAAGGAAAUGGUUCCUCAUUUGUGUACGAAAAUGAUUAAGAAGAUGUUUAAUUAGAUCUUAAUCAUCUUUCGGUUGGUUAUCAUCAUCAAGUUUACUCAAGGAUAAACAGAGAGAUAGACAUAAGAAAAACAAUCCAAGUGAGCAAACUGGUUUAUCAAAAUUAACGCAAGAAAAAAAAAGAGGAAAAGGAAAGAGACUCUGAUUGUUAUCUCCAUGAUAUUCAUGGUGAUGGCUACAGAAUUUUGUGAGAAUGAAAGUUCUCAAGGAUUUUCCAUUCCUCUAUCAUCUUAUUUUAAUUCUUUUUAGGUAAUUAUCUGUGAUGCCAAUUAGUGUAAAUCAUGUUGAUGAAAACAAUGGAGAGGAACCUGUUGCUUUUUCUUACAAUAAUCAAAGGGAAACAAUCAAAUUGAUAAUUAAUUUACUCUUUUCGACUAUUCCAUCCAAGGAUGUUAAUUUGAUUUAAUUUUUUAUCACAAUUGAAGAGGAUUCAAGGUUGGUAUUAAUUUGUGAUCAUCUCAAAUCAAUCAACUCAAUUUCAAGAUUAACUAUUGGAUUUUUACAAAUUGGAUUAAGGAACCUCAAACUGGAUUUGUUUCACUUAAAACUUGGA